GACGAACGCUGGCGGCAGGCCUAACACAUGCAAGUCGAGCGGAUGAAGAGAGCUUGCUCUCUGAUUUAGCGGCGGACGGGUGAGUAAUGCCUAGGAAUCUGCCUGGUAGUGGGGGAUAACGUCCGGAAACGGGCGCUAAUACCGCAUACGUCCUACGGGAGAAAGCAGGGGACCUUCGGGCCUUGCGCUAUCAGAUGAGCCUGGGUCGGAUUAGCUAGUUGGUGAGGUAAAGGCUCACCAAGGCGACGAUCCGGACCUGGUCUGGGAGGAUGAUCAGUCAAACUGGAACUUAGACACGGUCCGGAUCACUACGGGAGGCAGCAGUUGGGAAUAUUGGACAGUGGGCGAAAGCCUGAUCCGGCCAUGCGGCGUGUGUGAAGAAGGUCUUCGGAUUCUAACGCACUAUAAGCUGGGAGGAAGGGCAGUAAGUUAAUACCUUGCUGUGUUGACGUUACCGACAGAAUAAGCACCGGCUAACUGCGUGCCAGCCGCCGCGGUAACAC
rnacentral:rRNA from 1 species